GGACAUGAGGACAAUCUGGCUGCAACAUCUGUCACUCCAUUGACUGCCAGAGUUGAUUCAGCUAAUUUGGUUGGCUAGGCGGUGUCCCCUUCCUCCUUCACUGUACCCCUCCUAAAGCUGCACACUUGGUUGAAGAGGACGACCACCCAGAUAGAGGAGGAGCAUUUCUCUGGUCAAAGGUAUUCAUGUAGAUGUGCUCCCCUACUAGGACCUCUAAACAAGUGCUCCAGAUAGACAGAAUAAACUUUUGUUUGGUACCAGGGAUCGAACUCAGAACCUUGCGCUUUUGAGGCAGGCACUAAGCCAAAUUC
ensembl:misc_RNA 7SK 7SK RNA